rnacentral:rRNA from 1 species
AACGUAGGAGACGAACGUUAUCCGGAGUUACUGGGCGUAAAGGGCGCGUAGGCGGUCUGUUAAGUUCGGUGUGAAAGCCCCCGGCUCACCUGGGGAACUGCGCCGGAAACCGACAGACUCGAGUACCGGAGAGGAGGGUGGAAUUCCUGGGUGUAGCGGUGAAAUGCGUAGAUAUCAGGAAGGAACACCCGUGGCUAAGGCGGCUCUCUAGUACGGUACUGGACGCUGAGACGCGAAAGCCGUGGGGAGCGAACAGG